GACGAACGCUGGCGGCGUGCUUAACACAUGCAAGUCGAACGGAAAGGCCCUGCUUUUGUGGGGCGCUCGUGUGGCGAGCGGGUGUGUCACACGUGUGUACCCUCCUCCUGACUUUGGGAUACCUUCAGGAAACUGGGGCUUAUACCGGAUAGGAGCUCCUGCUGCAUGGUGGGGGAUAGAAAGUUUCGGUGGUUGGGGAUCGACUCGCGGCUUAUCGGCUUGUUGGGGGGGUAGUGGCUUACCACGGCUUCGACGGGUAGCCGGCCUGGGAGGGUGACCGGCCACAUUGGGACUGGGAUACGGCCCAGACUCCAACGGGAGGCAGCAGGGGGGAAUAUGGCACAAUGGGCGGAAGCCGGUGGCAGCAACCCCGCGUGCGGGAUGACGGCCUUCGGUUGGUAAACCGCUUUCGCCGGUGACGAAGCGUUAGUGACGGUAAUUGGUAAAGAAGCACCGGCUAACUACGUG
rnacentral:rRNA from 1 species